UAAUUUCCUAAUAGCACCAUUACUAGCAACAUUGUCCUCUGAAAGAAAUUUAAAUAAAACAAAAUCAUAAAUAAAAAUAUGUAGAUACAUAUUUUCUGGGUUGCAUCUGCAGAACUGUAUGCAAAUAAUCUUUCUCUUCCUACUUAUUUGAUGAUUAAGAGGAAGAAACAGCUUGCUCUCACACUUCUCAAACCAUGGUCUCCUCAUCUCUCUGGUUGUUUCUGCUGCUUGCAGCUGUCUCUCGUGUCCACUGUGUUGAACUGACCCAGACUGAUUCUGUGGUCUUAAGGCCUGGUCAGGUUUUGACUCUGUCCUGUAAGAUCUCUGGAUAUUCAUUGACUGACAGCAGCUACUGCACUCACUGGAUACGACAGGCUGCAGGAAAAGCUCUGGAAUGGAUUGGAAGAAUAUGUUAUAGUGGUGACACAUAUUACAGCGACAAAUUAAAAAGUAGAUAUCAAGUUAGCAGAGACACUUCCAGCAGCACAGUGACUCUACAAGGACAGAAUAUGCAGACUGAGGACACAGCUGUGUAUUACUGCGCCAGAGAGUCACAGUGACACAAACCACAAGCAGCUUUGUUCAAAAACAUCUUGAAUGAAAAGAAUAAGAGAAAGUCUCCAUAUAGGAAUAUAACUUUUUUUAUAACUUUUUUUUUUUUUUUUUUUUCUGAUUAUUUAUUUAUAUUGCAAAAGUGUGAAACAUCAGUGUUUUCCAGCCAA